rnacentral:tRNA from 1 species
GGAGAGAUGGCCGAGCUGGCUGAAGGCGCUCGCCUGCUAAGCGAGUGUGGGGGGAAACUUCCACCCCGGGUUCGAAUCCCGGUCUCUCCGCCA